rnacentral:rRNA from 1 species
UACGUAGGGGGCAAGCGUUAUCCGGAUUUACUGGGUGUAAAGGGAGCGUAGGUGGCAUGGCAAGUCAGAAGUGAAAACUGGGGGCUCAACCUCCAGACUGCUUUUGAAACUGUCAAGCUAGAGUGCAGGAGAGGUAAGUGGAAUUCCUAGUGUAGCGGUGAAAUGCGUAGAUAUUAGGAGGAACACCAGUGGCGAAGGCGACUUACUGGACUGUAACUGACACUGAGGCUCGAAAGCGUGGGGAGCAAACAGG